CUAUUCCUCCCCUUCCUCCAAGUCAUCCCAAUACUUACUCCCAUCAACAAGUUCCUCCUGCAAUCAAAAGAAAAUGCAUAAUGAGACAACAAUGAUAUCACCAUCAUUAAGAAAACUAAAAAAGUCAUAGUAACCUGGAAAGUCAUUUUCUAACAAAGGAAGAUUUAAUUGCCCGCGCAUGAAGUUUAUUAUAAUAACACAAAGGAUUUAUUCUAUUAAUUCAAUAAAUUAAGUGAAAAUGGAUAGGGAAAGCUUUCUCUGUAACCCAAACAACAUAGAAGUUAUACGUGACCCCAUUUC
rnacentral:lncRNA from 1 species